rnacentral:rRNA from 1 species
UACGAAGGGGGCUAGCGUUGCUCGGAAUCACUGGGCGUAAAGGGUGCGUAGGCGGGUCUUUAAGUCAGGGGUGAAAUCCUGGAGCUCAACUCCAGAACUGCCUUUGAUACUGAUGAGCUUGAGUUCGGGAGAGGUGAGUGGAACUGCGAGUGUAGAGGUGAAAUUCGUAGAUAUUCGCAAGAACACCAGUGGCGAAGGCGGCUCACUGGCCCGAUACUGACGCUGAGGUGCGAAAGCGUGGGGAGCAACAGG